CAACAGUGUCUUGCAGCCCUGAGCACUCGUUGAAGCUAUGGCCAGCAAGGGUAGCAAGGACCUGAAGCCCCAGGUGGAAGGCACUGUCCCAGAAGCAGUGGCAACAGCGGGCGCUGCAGUUCAAGAACCAUCCACUGAGGGAGGACAGAAAGGCACCGCAGCUUCCCGCGCUGGCCCGGUCCCCGCUGGCCCCACCACUGCCCCGGCCGCAGCCCCUGCCGCAGACCAAGGCAAGCUGGGUCCCCAGAAGUGAUGGCAAAACUGGACACUUCCCUCCAGGCGCGUUCAACAGAACUUGACCCUGACCUCCCUGUUGCCUGCUACUUCCUUGAUCUGCCCUUAAUUAAAGUUCAUAUUUCCGGGGGUUGGGGGCGCGGCUCAGGGGGG